GUGCUCGCUUCGGCAGCACAUAUACUAAAAUUGGAACGAUACAGAGAAGAUUAGCAUGGUCCCUAAAAAAAAAAAAAAAAAUGUGAGGAGUAAUCUGGUAAAUAUUU
rnacentral:snRNA from 1 species